UACGGGAGGCAGCAGUGGGGAAUAUUGCACAAUGGGCGGAAGCCUGAUGCAGCGACGCCGCGUGGGGAUGACGGCCUUCGGGUUGUAAACUCCUUUCGACAGGGACGAAGCUUUUUGUGACGGUACCUGUAUAAGAAGCACCGGCUAACUACGUGCCAGCAGCCGCGGUAAUACGUAGGGUGCGAGCGUUGUCCGGAAUUACUGGGCGUAAAGAGCUCGUAGGUGGUUUGUCGCGUCGUCUGUGAAAUUCCGGGGCUUAACUCCGGGCGUGCAGGCGAUACGGGCAUAACUUGAGUGCUGUAGGGGAGACUGGAAUUCCUGGUGUAGCGGUGAAAUGCGCAGAUAUCAGGAGGAACACCGAUGGCGAAGGCAGGUCUCUGGGCAGUUACUGACGCUGAGGAGCGAAAGCAUGGGUAGCGAACAGGAUUAGAUACC
rnacentral:rRNA from 1 species